rnacentral:rRNA from 1 species
AUUGAACGCUGGCGGCAUGCUUUACACAUGCAAGUCGAACGGCAGCACGGGGGCAACCCUGGUGGCGAGUGGCGAACGGGUGAGUAAUAUAUCGGAACGUACCCGGAAAUGGGGGAUAACGUAGCGAAAGUUACGCUAAUACCGCAUAUGCCCUAAGGGGGGAAAGCGGGGGAUUCGCAAGAACCUCGCGUUUUCGGAGCGGCCGAUAUCGGAUUAGCUAGUAGGUGAGGUAAAGGCUCACCUAGGCGACGAUCCGUAGCUGGUCUGAGAGGACGACCAGCCACACUGGAACUGAGACACGGUCCAGACUCCUACGGGAGGCAGCAGUGGGGAAUUUUGGACAAUGGGCGCAAGCCUGAUCCAGCCAUGCCGCGUGAGUGAAGAAGGCCUCGGUGUAAGACGUCUUCUACGACGGAAACGGAAACGAACGG